rnacentral:rRNA from 1 species
CAGUCGCCGCGGGAAUACGAAGGGUGCAAGCGUUACUCGGAAUUACUGGGCGUAAAGCGUGCGUAGGUGGUGGUUUAAGUCCGUUGUGAAAGCCCUGGGCUCAACCUGGGAAUUGCAGUGGAUACUGGGUCACUAGAGUGUGGUAGAGGAUAGUGGAAUUUCCGGUGUAGCAGUGAAAUGCGUAGAGAUCGGAAGGAACAUCUGUGGCGAAGGCGACUAUCUGGGCCAACACUGACGCUGAGGCACGAAAGCGUGGGGAUCAAACAGGAUUAGAUACCCCCGUAGUCCCUGUCUCUUAUAU